CUUGUUGUUAUAAUCAACAUGCAGGUCAGACUGACAGGCCCUUGUUGUUAUAAUCAACAUGCAGGUCAGACUGACAGGCCCUUGUUGUUAUAAUCAACAUGCAGGUCAGACUGACAGGCCCUUGUUGUUAUAAUCAACACGCAGGUCAGACUGACAGGCCC